UUUCACACAUACUCAACCAAUGAAGUGUCAACAUUCCACUGAAUAGCCCUCUCAGCUAUCAGCCAAUGGGCUGCCAGCACACCUGAGAGGAUGUAUGGUAUAUAAAGACCCCUUCACCUGUCCUGUACAUCAUAAAGGAAACUCCAGAGGCAACGAUGUCAGGAAGCGAGUCCUCCAGCGUCUCAUAUGAGGGCCGAGACGAUGGGCACGACAGAGUUACCUGCCAGCUGUCUCUCGAAGAACGUCAAUGUCUCAGAGAACGGAAUGGCAAUACAGAUAAGGAAAUGACACACAUGCCAGUGGAGAACACCAUUCAUUCCAUCCAAAAGUGUUCUGAGAAGGCCACAUCACAAAGACCUGAAACUGGUUUAGCAGCUGAAGAAUAUUCACAGGAAAACCCAGAGACAAGUGAAUCAAGACCAACUGAAAGUUUUGGGAUUGCUACAAAUGAGUCUUGCAAAAGGCUGGAAGAUGAAUUGGAGAAGACACAAAGAGAGUUGCAGCAGUGCAGAAAAAGACUUAAAGAAGAGCAACAAAAGGCAACACAUUACCAAAGAAAGGCUCUCAUUUAUAAAGCACACAUUUUACACAUCCGAAAGAUCUACGAUAUCCCAUCCAAAGUAAUGUGAUGCCUCAGUCUCCACUGUGUUUACUGUUUUUCAUUGAAUCUUAAUAGUAGUUAGUGAUUGGUCAAUAUUUUCUAUAUAGCUCUUUGUUCUUGUUCAGCUAGAUAUAUUUGAAAUAUACCAGCCUGUCACUCAGCUAGCAUGUUUAACAUGUCAGUAUAUGCCAUUUUGUAUUACACAAUACCUGUCCUUUUACAGACAAUUGUUUUUCACUUAUAAGGUAAUAUAGACGUA